rnacentral:misc_RNA from 1 species
UAUCCGUUGGUGAACCAGCGGAGGGAUCAUUACUGGAAUCGCAAGAUCCCACAACCCCUGUGAACCUACCGAAACGUUGCCUCGGCGGGCGCCCGGCCCCGCGCCGGGCGCUGAGCCCGCCGGCGGCCCCCUACUCUUGUCUCUGCAGCGUGGCAUCCCAGAGUCCCAGAAAACAAGUAAAAACUUUCAACAACGGAUCUCUUGGCUCUA